GUCCAUUUUCGUUUCGCCGCUCCGUCGUCAUCGGUCGCGUUUUUGCCGGGCUUGGAUUUCUCGCGGCGAUCCUUUUGCCGAAGAAGAAAAAGGUUUUUUCCUCCUGGAGUGCUGCCGCUGCUGACCAGUUUUCGCGACAUUUCGGCGUGUUUUCGCACCGGUUCCGUUCCCCGAGUGGUGCCAUUUUGAGCCGUACGACGCGCAGAACCCGCGGACAGUGUUUUCCGACCGUGAAAAGUGCAUUUUCGCGGUGAAAAGCGAAGGCAAUUCAAGAAGAAAAAGUAAAGUGCGGUGCGAAAAACACCAGUGAUAUAUAAAGUGCAAAAGUGUGUUGAAAACAUACCCAAAGUCAAAGUGGCAGCGAGAAAGUGAAAACCGAAGAAUAUCUUCCACCUUUAACCUCCGUAUCAUAACCUUGCGUCCGGCAAACAAAACCGGCGCCAAAAUACGUCACCAACAGGCAAACCCCCGCCGCUAGAGGAGUUGUGUGUGCGUGUGCUGCGAUCUAGCGCGCCGCCGCGACCAUGUUGCCGAAACGGUCCCGUUUGGGCGACGUUCGCGGACCCAUCUCGAACGGACCGAUGCAGUCGCGGCCGCUGGUGGCGCUGCUCGACGGCCGGGACUGCUCGAUCGAGAUGCCGAUCCUGAAGGACGUCGCGACGGUGGCGUUCUGCGACGCACAGAGCACAUCGGAAAUUCACGAAAAAGUAUUAAACGAAGCGGUGGGAGCACUCAUGUGGCACACAAUCAUCCUCACGAAAGAAGAUCUGGAAAAGUUCAAAGCGUUACGGAUAAUCGUCCGCAUCGGCAGCGGCGUCGACAACAUCGACGUGAAGGCGGCCGGCGAGCUGGGCAUCGCCGUGUGCAAUGUGCCCGGCUACGGCGUCGAGGAGGUCGCCGAUACCACCAUGUGUCUGAUCCUGAACCUGUACCGGCGAACGUACUGGCUCGCGAACAUGGUGCGGGAAGGCAAAAAGUUCACAGGUCCCGAACAGGUGCGGGAUGCCGCGCAGGGCUGUGCGAGAAUACGUGGUGAUACCCUCGGGCUGGUCGGGCUCGGCAGAAUAGGCAGUGCGGUGGCGCUGCGGGCGAAAGUGUUCGGUUUCAACGUGAGCUUCUACGACCCGUACCUGCCGGACGGCAUCGAAAAGUCGCUCGGCCUGAACCGCGUCUACACCCUCCAGGAGCUGCUAUUCCACUCAGACUGCGUGUCGCUACACUGUACAUUAAAUGAACAUAAUCAUCACUUAAUUAACGAGUUCACGAUCAAACAGAUGAGACCCGGUGCAUUUCUAGUGAACACAGCCCGCGGCGGACUAGUCGACGACGAGGCGCUCGCCCACGCGCUCAAGCAGGGCCGAAUCCGGGCGGCCGCGCUGGACGUUCAUGAGAAUGAGCCAUACAAUGUAUUUCAGGGUGCCCUGAAAGAUGCCCCCAACCUGCUGUGUACGCCCCACGCCGCCUUCUACAGCGAGGCGGCCACGACCGAGCUGCGCGAGAUGGCGGCCAGCGAGAUCCGGCGGGCAAUCAUCGGCAACAUCCCAGACUGUCUGCGGAACUGCGUCAACAAGGAGUACUUCCUGCGAUCGUCGACGGCGGCGGCGCCGGAGGAUACUCGGAAGGUGGACUGCAGCAGGCCCAUAGUACAACCCCGCUCGAGGCCCCGCACAGUGCAGGAUCGCACGGGCCCCCCAGCGGUCCCCCGCCACCGUCUGUCGCCGUACCACCUGUCUCCGGCGUGACGGCGCCACCACCACAAGGUAUACUACUACAAACCCCACAUCAUUCUAUGGUCAGCAAAUCGCCUCUUAGUGCCCCCGAUCCAAGUAAUCAUCAUUCGGUUAAGCCGGAACCGUCGGAAGUACAUUAGUUUCAUUAUUAACUUUAUUACUAUUAUUAUUAUGUGUACGGACUUACGAUUAGGUUGACAAGUUGACGUAAAAUGAGAGCGAGAAAAAGAGAUAGAAUUGUGCGAAAAUGAGAAAAAAAUAAAAAAAGAAACUUUUUAUUUCAGUUUAAGCCAGAUUAAAACCAGAAACACACAAGGAAAAAAAAUACAUUAGUAAGAGGGAAUACAAAAACAACACAAGAGAAUAAAUGAAAACAAAUAUAUAUUGAGCGCGCAGAUGAGAGAAUCACAAUGCGAGAGAGCAAGAGAAAGAGCGAGCGAAAGAGAGCGCGAAGAUCGAUAAUAAUGAUACAAACAUUGCAGAAGUAAAAAAAAAUGUGAGAUAAAUGAUUAUUAGUAAGAUGUGCGAAGUUACUGCAAGCAAAGUAUAUAAGUAAAAGUGAGAGGGCGACCAGCAACAAAAUAAGAAAGAAAAAAAAACACUAAAAAGUAAUACAAAAUAGUUUUGUGUAAGAGAAAACUAUGUAAAAAUACAGGUGUAAAAACAAUACAACUGCAGAGAAACCCAACCACUAAACAUAACCACCACGAUUUUGAAGAGAAGAUGAAAAAAAAAAUUAGUCAACACACUACUGCGUAGGGUUCCACACCACAACACAAACAGAACAUAGAACUAACAAAACAGAAGAACAAUCUAACAAAAGAUGAAAAAAAAAAACAAGAAUAGUUUCAGCUUCCAAGAGAGUAAACAAAGAAAGGUAUACAUCUAUUUCGACAAAAAGUUAAACGAAACAAAAAACCCCGAGCUGGAUUAAACAACAACACAGACAUACACAUUUAUACGUUGUAGCGUGGUACAUUUAAAAAAUGAGAAUUGCUUCCUUUUUGUUUUUAACUUCUUAAUGAUAACGAUAAUUGGAUUAUAUUUUUUAUUUUUUCUCUGUAAGUAGAAGAACAGAAAUUCCUUUUAUUUUUAAAUGUACGUAGGGAUUAAAGUUAAACAAAAAAAAGUAAAAGCAGAACUUAGAAGCGCGUGUGUAAGAGCGAGAGAGUUUGAACGCGUGAGAGGAAACUGAUUAAUUUUGGGCGGGAGAGAGUGAGUGAGAGAGAGAGAGCGUGUGCGCGAGAGAAUUAGUUUAAACGUGACGAGCGGAAACACGGACAGCAGAAUAGGGGAGAGCGUUGCGUUUUCUGAUUGCAACCUUUGAAACGAGUUGAAACGCACGAUCACGCGCGAUUUCGAUCCAGUGGAUGACGCUCUUGAAAAUUACCCUUCAAAUAGAAAUCCAAACGAGGAAGGUAACAUUUAUCUUGCUUCCUUUUUGCACACAAUCAAAAUGUUCCACUGAAAGAGGGAGAGAGAGAGUGCCAUAUUUCGAGUGCAUUUUCGAAACCAAGUCGAAUCUGAUCUCUUCUAGCAGCUCGAAAUUGAGUUAGGUACAAAUGUAAACAGAAAUAAAAAUAAAGUCAAUUGGCAUCUUCCCCGGUCGCCACGAAUCACUCGCGGUGCGUUUCAUCUUUGUGUCCUAGCGUGCUAAGGCACGCAAGGCUCAAAAAGCAGUGUCAAGGUUGUGCAAUCAGAAACACCAAGCAGCAAAUUUUAAACUAAUUGAUAAGAACAGAAAAAAAAACACUCCCCUAAACCACAUAUGCUUUAAGGAUGUAAGUGAAAUUGGUUAAGUAAAAAAAAAAACAACAAAACAAACAAAAGCAACUACAGAGAAAUUCAAUAAACAAUACAGCAACAACAAACCACGCAGCCAACUUUUACCCGCACACACGAACACAUAAUGGCAAUCAUCCAGUAAGGAAAGCAGUUUUCCCUCCAAACUGUGCGUGUGUGCAGGAAAAAAAAACAUCUUCUGAAAAGAUAAGAGAAGCUGCUCCGGACACAACAAACUAGAUUUACUUACCUGGUAGUGUGAGCUGGGCAUUCGUUGUCGUCGUUGUGUUGAGGAAAUGAAACAUACAAACUACAACAGCCGAAAAACUAAUAAAAAAAACAAUAUAAAAAAGAUGAAGUAAAAGCAAAAUGCAUUCCUUUGUGCAACCAUUUGAAAGAAGAAGCAAAAAAUAUGUUGAGGCAGAAAAGAAAUCAACAGAGAACACACAAACCCACACACAUUCACACACGAGCAAAACCUGUGAGUAAUGAGGAGGAAAUAGAACAAAAACUUCUGUGUAAAUGGGACAGCAAAAUCUGAAAGGAAGGCAUACAAAUAAAAAAAUGCAAUGGGUAAAAAGUAAUAAAAA